AACGCAAAUUGCACUCUCUGGUAUUCCGGAGAGUAUGCCUGUUUGAGGGUCGUUAAAUAAAAAGGAUCGUUUUUAUCGCCCUCGGGUGGUAUUUUCGGAAUUGAGCUUUCUUUUUUAUAACCAUCUUAAAGAGGCUUAAAAUUUUAUCGUUAUGAUAUGCAUGACUUAUGUUUAAUACGACGUUAAGUCAUGGCAUCUUUUUUAUUAGGUUGUGGCUAUAUAUUGAUCAGACAAAUAGUUGAUGAACAGCUUCAUGACCUAUAAACGAUAUUCAUAAAAUGACCUCAAAUCAGGUAGGAACACCCGCUGAACUUAA
rnacentral:misc_RNA from 1 species